rnacentral:misc_RNA from 1 species
AAGUCGUAACAAGGUUUCCGUAGGUGAACCUGCGGAAGGAUCAUUACAAAUCCAACGUCUCCUUUACCCGAGACACCGUUCUCUACCCCCCUUCCAUCGGUGCCAGCUUGUGUGUGUGUGUGUGUGUUGCAAAACCACCCACAUCACCAGCCGGCGCCUUGAUGACCCUAUUUGACAAACAGCUGAUCCGUUGCUCAAUAGGAUACAAAAAGCAAAUGAGAAACAACUUACAACAAUGGAUCUCUAGGCUCUU